UGAGGAAUUUUGCGCAAUGGGAGCAAUCCUGACGCAGCAACGCCGCGUGGGUGAUGAAGGCCUUCGGGUCGUAAAGCCCUGUCAGGUGGGAAGAAUGUCCCGGGACUGAACAGGUUCCGGGAGUGACGGUACCACCAGAGGAAGCACCGGCUACCUCCGUGCCAGCAGCCGCGGUAAUACGGAGGGUGCAAGCGUUAUUCGGAAUUCCUGGGCGUACAGCGCGUGUAGGCGGUCCUGCAAGUCUGAUGUGAAAGCCCCGGGCUUAACCCGGGAAGUGCAUUGGAAACGGUGGGACUUGAGUACGGGAGAGGAUGGGGGAAUUCCCGGUGUAGAGGUGAAAUUCGUAGAGAUCGGGAGGAAUAUCAGUGGCGAAGGCGCCCAUCUGGACGGUAACUGACGCUGAGACGCGAAAGCGUGGGGAGCAAACA
rnacentral:rRNA from 1 species